GUAAAUGAUAAUUUCAUGUAAAACUUACUUAACGUAAAUGAUGGAGACACAUAAAUUUAAUUGUUGCUGUUUGUUUCAUUCAAUGACAGUUCAUUAUUGUUGUCGAUUGCGGGUGAAGUUGCGGGAGUGUUUUGUUGACAAAUGUUGAUGUUUUAAGGUUUCCUCAAGUUGGUUUCGUAAGGGCCGAAAAGCGAUAAAUUCCAAAGCAAAACAACACUCCGCUGGAAUUGGACGAAAUGUUUAGAAUUCAAAUGUAAACAACGGAAGCACCAGUUCAUUUCUCAGUCCAGUCAAUGUCACCCGGCAUGUUUUUGCCGGAAGCGAAUCUGUCCGGAAGUCUUCUAUUCAGGCAGGUUUACCAAGUACGAGGAGGACAUUCAAAUUCCCGUUCAGUGAUGAAACCUUUCCUCGUAUAAGUUAAUAAUUUUAAAAAAAUCCGUGUCCAGUGUUAAAAA